AACGAACGCUGGCGGCAGGCUUAACACAUGCAAGUCGAGCGCCCCGCAAGGGGAGCGGCAGACGGGUGAGUAACGCGUGGGAACGUACCUUUUGGUUCGGAACAACUCCGGGAAACUGGAGCUAAUACCGGAUAAGCCCUAACGGGGAAAGAUUUAUCGCCGAAAGAUCGGCCCGCGUCUGAUUAGCUAGUUGGUGAGGUAACGGCUCACCAAGGCGACGAUCAGUAGCUGGUCUGAGAGGAUGAUCAGCCACACUGGGACUGAGACACGGCCCAGACUCCCCGGGGGGGAAGCAGGGGGAAAUAUGGGACAAUGGCGCAAGCCCAGACCAACCCAUGCCGCGGGAGUAAGAAAGCCUUUAGGGUUGAAAACCUCUUUUGUCCGGAAAGAUAAUCCGUGUCCCGAAAAAAUAGCCCCCGGCAAACUUCGGC
rnacentral:rRNA from 1 species